AGGUUGGCUCCGGUGAAAAGGGAAACAGGUGCAAAUCCUGUACGAACUCGUCACCGUGAUAGGGAGCAGGAGCCGCAAAAUCACUGGGAAACUGGGAAGAUGGCCGAUGCGAUGAUCUUAAGCCGGGAGACCUGCCUGAAC
rnacentral:ncRNA from 1 species